GUGAGGAAUAUUGGACAAUGGGCGCAAGCCUGAUCCAGCCAUACCGCGUGGGUGAAGAAGGCCUUCGGGUUGUAAAGCCCUUUUGUUGGGAAAGAAAUCCUGUCGGUUAAUACCUGGCGGGGAUGACGGUACCCAAAGAAUAAGCACCGGCUAACUUCGUGCCAGCAGCCGCGGUAAUACGAAGGGUGCAAGCGUUACUCGGAAUUACUGGGCGUAAAGCGUGCGUAGGUGGUGGUUUAAGUCCGUUGUGAAAGCCCUGGGCUCAACCUGGGAAUUGCAGUGGAUACUGGAUCACUAGAGUGUGGUAGAGGGAUGCGGAAUUUCUGGUGUAGCAGUGAAAUGCGUAGAGAUCAGAAGGAACAUCCGUGGCGAAGGCGGCAUCCUGGGCCAACACUGACACUGAGGCACGAAAGCGUGGGGAGCAAACAGGAUUAGAAACCCGGGUAGUCC
rnacentral:rRNA from 1 species